rnacentral:RNase_P_RNA from 1 species
GAAGCUGACCAGACAGUCGCCGCUUCGUCGUCGUCCUUUCGGGGAGACGGGCGGAGGGGAGGAAAGUCCGGGCUCCAUAGGGCAGGGUGCCAGGUAACGCCUGGGGGGGAAACCCACGACCAGUGCAACAGAGAGCAAACCGCCGAUGGCCCACGUAAGUGGGAUCAGGUAAGGGUGAAAGGGUGCGGUAAGAGCGCACCGCGCGGCUGGUAACAGUCCGUGGCACGGUAAACUCCACCCGGAGCAAGGCCAAAUAGGGGUUCAUAAGGUACGGCCCGUACUGAACCCGGGUAGGCUGCUUGAGCCAGUGAGCGAUUGCUGGCCUAGAUGAAUGACUGUCCACGACAGAACCCGGCUUAUCGGUCAGUUUCAUUU